GAUGAACGCUAGCGGCAGGCCUAACACAUGCAAGUCGAGGGAGAAGCCCUUUCGGGGGCAGAAACCGGCGCACGGGUGCGUAACGCGUAUGCAACCUACCUUUCACAGGGGGAUAGCCCGAAGAAAUUUGGAUUAAUACCCCAUAAUAUUAUUGGAUGGCAUCAUUUGAUAAUUAAAACUGCGGUGGUGAAAGAUGGGCAUGCGUCCUAUUAGCUAGUUGGAGUGGUAACGGCACCCCAAGGCUACGAUAGGUAGGGGUCCUGAGAGGGAGAUCCCCCACACUGGUACUGAGACAGGGACCAGACUCCUACGGGAGGCAGCAGUGAGGAAUAUUGGUCAAUGGUCGGAAGACUGAACCAGCCAUGCCGCGUGCAGGAAGAAUGCCUUAUGGGUUGUAAACUGCUUUUAUAUGGGAAGAAUAAGGCGUACGUGUACGUUG
rnacentral:rRNA from 1 species